GGCUCGGCCCAUGCUCCCGGAACCGUGCGGGCGGUGCAGCACUAGGGACCCAGCGAAGCGGCGGGUGAUUGGCAGCCUGGGUUUCCGCAGGAGCGGCCGCCCUCCCAGGCCGGGGGCCGCGCUGGGGCUGCAACUGCGAUAUCUCCGAAGAAGAAAUACAAAAUUGUCAAUCCAAAUGCCCAGCAAAAGAGACUGAUUUAGACAGCAAUCGCAGAGAUAACUACAAAUGUGAUGAAUCUACAGGACAUUCGUAAUGGGAAAGUAAUGGGCAGAAAGGCAUGUCAUGCGUGGUUUGAAGAGCAAAAACCUGUAGUUUACAAUGCCAACAUUGAAAAGUUGGGGAAAAACAAGGUGUACAGAGUUGCUUAUUGGUUACAAUCUGAGGAGUAUGAUAAUGCUACUGAUUAUGAUAUGCCAAUGUACCAGCUAGCAACUGAUCUUCUCCAUAAAGACUUGGUUUAUUGCUAGAAAUUUAAUUUAUUUACCUAUCUGUUGCGGACCUAUAAGCAUAUAAUACAAUAAUAUUAAAGUUCUGAUCUUGAGAA